AUAUAUGAAUAUAUAUACGCCUUUCUUGACCUCUUGACCUCAGAUCAGGUAGGACUACCCGCUGAACUUAA
rnacentral:rRNA from 1 species